UGGGUAAACUCCCAAGGAUCAGGUGGAGAUUGAAUCCCGAUCCUUGGGUUUCUGCUCUCGG
rnacentral:pre_miRNA from 2 species